AUAAAAAUGCAUAAAUAAAAAUAAUUAUUUAAGAAAUGCUUAAAACAGAAAGAAAAAAAUAAAAAUAAAUUUAAAUAAAAAAAUUACAAUUUGUGAUUUUUUAAUAAAAAAAAUAAAGUUAGAAACAAAUAAAAGGGAAAAAAAUCACAAGUGGGAAAUGUGGGAUUUGAAUGGGAUGAUUUUAUCUGCGUAUCGAGAUAUUGAUUCUGAAUGGGGACUUGAUUUUGGUCGUAUGAAAUGUGUGAUGAGUUUUGAGUUUUG
rnacentral:lncRNA from 1 species